ensembl:lncRNA
ACGAGGCUGGGCUCCGACAUCCUCAAACCCUGAGGCCCCCGCCUUCAGAGGCAACGUUCUCCUGCGUGGCUGGAGUUUGCUGAUGCGAAAGUGAAGAAAUCCAAGGUGAGAGCAAGUUGGCUUCUGUUACCCGGAACUCAAAAGUAUUACAGUCCUUUGCAAGUCUCAAAGAGCUGCCCCUGAAGGGCUCCCAUCCAUGGCUGUCUCCACUAAGAACGUCUUCUACUGUUACUGCACUCGGAUCCCUGUCCUUUAGGAACUAUUUUGGAAGAAUUUGGCACCUGGCGCUUGUAAGACUUGAGAACAGAGGACACCUUAGGCAACACAAUUCACACGUCACUUUUGCAGAAGCAAAAUCUUUGGCCUAAUUUCUCAAAAUAACAUCAUUUUUAUGGGUGGUUAAAUUUCUCGCGUGCCAGUUGCUGAGCAGUUUCAGGUAAACCUUGGAAGUUUGCAGGGAUGGUCCUCCUUCAGGCACUGUCCACAUUUGAAGGAAUGACGUGAGGCCUGGCGGAGGCCUGUCUGGGGCUUUCACUCACUAACAACUAUUGAAAUUACGCAAAGACAGGUGACUCCAUGUUUUGCCAUUCACAGAAUGCUUUCACUCACCGUGCCUCGUUUGAUCCUCACAACAGUCCAGUGGGAGAGAUGGGUAGCACCCUGUACCCCCAUUUUACAGACUUCAGAGGUGUGGAGUGAUCCAACCUAGGGAAACAGCCCCAGAUUCUGAGCCCCUGAAGCUGCCAUACCGUGAAGAAUCUCAGGCCGAACUCCAGAGUGAGAGAGGCCACAUGGAGGGAGGGCCAGCAAACAAGAAACCAGCCUGGACAUUCCUGCUCCAAGCAGCUCCUCACUGAACACAGCUGCCUACACAAUAAGGAGAAUCACCGGUGAGCCCGGGAAACCCACAGUCAUGGGGUGUUGUUGUAAGCCGCUACAUUUGGGGCGGUUGGUUACACAGAAGUUGAUGCCUAAAACAGAGACCAAUUUUGUGGGGAAAAUCAUUUAGAGUGAUGGUCAGGGAAGGUGUCAUGAGAAGGUGUUUGUUGGAACUGAAUGAAAAGGGACCAGCCGUGAGACUCCCUGGUGGCUGAGCAUUCCAGGCGGAAGAAAUAACAAGUGUGAGGCCUGAGGCAGGGAUUAGCUUGGUGUGCUUGAAAAACAAUUCAAAGCCUGAUUUCAGGGAAGGUAAUCAGAGAAUUUGAGUCAGAGAGUGAGGGAGGGGCUAGAUCCUGGAGGGGCUUGAAAGCCACAGUAAGGAGUCAGAUGAACUAUCAAGCCAGAGGAAAAUCCCUGGAGGUUUUUAAGCAAAGAAUGAUAUAAAUGGAUUUACAUUUUAAAAAUAUCAUUCUGGUUUCUGUGCAUGCUGUGUAGACAAUAGACUGGGGCAGCAAGGGGAAACUCCUGCUAGCACUCUGCAGAGAGAACACCAAAGCCUGUGCUAGCUCAAAAAAGGAGCAGUAUUGAGGAUACCAUAAAAUCCACCCAUUUUAAAUGAACAAGUCAAUGGGUUUUUGUAAAUUUAUAUAGUCAUGCAACCCUCCCCACAACAGAAUUUUAGCAUACUCGCAUCAACCCUAAAAGUUUAUUAUCUAAUGCUCCUUUUCAGUCAAACUUCAUUUCCACCCC